UCCUCCCUCUUUCUUCGUGCUUAACACAUGCAAGUCGAACGGAAAGGCCCUGCUUGCAGGGUACUCGAGUGGCGAACGGGUGAGUAACACGUGGGUGAUCUGCCCUGCACUUCGGGAUAAGCCUGGGAAACUGGGUCUAAUACCGGAUAGGAGCCAUUUUUAGUGUGAUGGUUGGAAAGUUUUUUCGGUGUAGGAUGAGCUCGCGGCCUAUCAGCUUGUUGGUGGGGUAAUGGCCUACCAAGGCGGCGACGGGUAGCCGGCCUGAGAGGGUGGACGGCCACAUUGGGACUGAGAUACGGCCCAGACUCCUACGGGAGGCAGCAGUGGGGAAUAUUGCACAAUGGGCGCAAGCCUGAUGCAGCGACGCCGCGUGGGGGAUGACGGCCUUCGGGUUGUAAACUCCUUUCGCUAGGGACGAAGCUUUUUGUGACGGUACCUAGAUAAGAAGCACCGGCUAACUACGUG
rnacentral:rRNA from 1 species